CAGAAAAUAGUUUAAAAAAAAUAUUAAUUUUGGAGAUUAGGGAUAAGAGGUUUCUUUUUUCUGA
rnacentral:tRNA from 1 species